rnacentral:rRNA from 1 species
AUUGAACGCUGGCGGCAGGCCUAACACAUGCAAGUCGAACGCGUGGCGGACGGGGGAGUAAUGUCCGGGAAACUGCUCGAUGGAGGGGGAUAACUACUGGAAACGGUAGCUAAUACUGCCUCUUAUCGGAUGUGCCCAGAUUGGGUUAGCUAGUAGGUGGGGUAACGGCUCACCUAGGCGACGAUCCCAUGCGGGUCGGAGAGGAGGACCGGACACACCGGAACUGGAAUGCGGUCCGGACCCCUACGGGAGGCGGGGGUGGGGAAUAUUGCACAAGGGGCGGAAGCCUGAUGCGACCAUGCCGCGUGGAUGAAAAGGGGAUUCGGGUUGGAAAGUACUUUCAGCGAGGUGGCGUUACUCGAAGAAGAAGCACCGGCUAACUCCGUGCCAGCAGCCGCGGUAAUAC